UAUAUUCCUUUAAUGCAGCUCUAAAUAAUUUAAUACAUUACUGUUUAUGAACAUUAAUGACACAUUAAACUAUGUUCUGAAAGUGAGAUUCAUGUUGUCUCCUUUGUUCACCUGCUAUUAAAAUUGCAUCUGAUAACACGUAAUACCACCGAAUGUCUAGGUUGAGUGGUUAACACUCCUCCUUCAUACUCGGUAAAUCUCAGGUUCAAGUCUAGGCCAGGAGACAGGCAAUUCCGGAUUUCCGUGGUUUUUCUCAGUCCCUCCAUACAAUGCAGAGCUAGCAAGUUAAAUUAGGCCAAUAAUAAUUUAUUAUACAUCCUUUCCAAAUUACUAUUCAUCUCAUACAGUCUGAGCUACUGAAAAAGCGUCGUUAAGUAUACUAUAAAUAAACACUCGGCGCCGAACAUUUGGCGACUGCCUGUCUUACUAAACACAAUGUGGUUGAAGUUGGUGAUCUAAUGCUGUUGAUUUCUUUUGAAAAUCUGUGGAGAGUUCAACAAACGGCAAAGUAGCUACGAUGCAGACACGGAAAUCCUGUUUACGGAACCCUCAUACAACUCGGAUUCGAUUAUAAAUGUAUUUGCAUUAGCAGUUUAUUUAACCUUGCAUUCAGCACGACAGAGGGUGCGUAUAAAAGCGAAUGAGAGAAUAACAGUGAAUGAUGAACUGGAACGAGUGUGGAAGGAAGUGGUGGUGGCCUAAUUUAAGGUACUGCCCUGGCAUUUACCUGGAGGGAUGGUGAUAAUCACAGAAUACCUCAGUCAGGAUGUUUGGUCUCGGGGCUGAGACUUGAACCUGGCGUAUUCUUUUAAAUACUAAAUAGUGUUGAAUAAAUUCGAAAUAUAAUUUUCUGACCGCGGAAUAUUUAAUUACACGCAAAUAAAUGUUGUAACGUCAUGACACUAGAUGAGAGAACAAAGAUUCUAGAUAAGUUGCGCGGUGGUAAGAGCAGAGCAACAGUUGGCUAAACAUUUCCUUAAUAUUUUAUUUUAAUACUUUCUUUACAGAUGAUACUACAGUUUGUUCACAUAAACAUCAUUACAGUAUA